UUAAGCGACUAAGCGUACACGGUGGAUGCCCUGGCAGUCAGAGGCGAUGAAGGACGUGCUAAUCUGCGAAAAGCGUCGGUAAGGUGAUAUGAACCGUUAUAACCGGCGAUGUCCGAAUGGGGAAACCCAGUGCAAUUCGUUGCACUAUCGUUAACUGAAUACAUAGGUUAACGAGGCGAACCGGGGGAACUGAAACAUCUAAGUACCCCGAGGAAAAGAAAUCAACCGAGAUUCCCCCAGUAGCGGCGAGCGAACGGGGAGCAGCCCAGAGUCUGAAUCAGCUUGUGUGUUAGUGGAACGGUCUGGAAAGUCCGACGGUACAGGGUGAUAGUCCCGUACACCAAAAUGCACAGGUUGUGAACUCGAAGAGUAGGGCGGGACACGUGGUAUCCUGUCUGAAUAUGGGGGGACCAUCCUCCAAGGCUAAAUACUCCUGACUGACCGAUAGUGAACCAGUACCGUGAGGGAAAGGCGAAAAGAACCCCGGCGAGGGGAGUGAAAAAGAACCUGAAACCGUGUACGUACAAGCAGUGGGAGCACCUUCGGGUGUGACUGCGUACCUUUUGUAUAAUGGGUCAGCGACUUAUAUUCUGUAGCAAGGUUAACCGUAUAGGGGAGCCGCAGGGAAACCGAGUCUUAACUGGGCGUUAAGUUGCAGGGUAUAGACCCGAAACCCGGUGAUCUAGCCAUGGGCAGGUUGAAGGUUGGGUAACACUAACUGGAGGACCGAACCGACUAAUGUUGAAAAAUUAGCGGAUGACUUGUGGCUGGGGGUGAAAGGCCAAUCAAACCGGGAGAUAGCUGGUUCUCCCCGAAAGCUAUUUAGGUAGCGCCUCGUGAAUUCAUCUUCGGGGGUAGAGCACUGUUUCGGCUAGGGGGUCAUCCCGACUUACCAACCCGAUGCAAACUACGAAUACCGAAGAAUGUUAUCACGGGAGACACACGGCGGGUGCUAACGUCCGUCGUGAAGAGGGAAACAACCCAGACCGCCAGCUAAGGUCCCAAAGUCAUGGUUAAGUGGGAAACGAUGUGGGAAGGCACAGACAGCCAGGAUGUUGGCUUAGAAGCAGCCAUCAUUUAAAGAAAGCGUAAUAGCUCACUGGUCGAGUCGGCCUGCGCGGAAGAUGUAACGGGGCUAAACCAUGCACCGAAGCUGCGGCAGCGACACUAUGUGUUGUUGGGUAGGGGAGCGUUCUGUAAGCCUGCGAAGGUGUGCUGUGAGGCAUGCUGGAGGUAUCAGAAGUGCGAAUGCUGACAUAAGUAACGAUAAAGCGGGUGAAAAGCCCGCUCGCCGGAAGACCAAGGGUUCCUGUCCAACGUUAAUCGGGGCAGGGUGAGUCGACCCCUAAGGCGAGGCCGAAAGGCGUAGUCGAUGGGAAACAGGUUAAUAUUCCUGUACUUGGUGUUACUGCGAAGGGGGGACGGAGAAGGCUAUGUUAGCCGGGCGACGGUUGUCCCGGUUUAAGCAUGUAGGCUGGUUGUCCAGGCAAAUCCGGAUAAUCAAGGCUGAGGUGUGAUGACGAGGCACUACGGUGCUGAAGUAACAAAUGCCCUGCUUCCAGGAAAAGCCUCUAAGCAUCAGGUAACAUUAAAUCGUACCCCAAACCGACACAGGUGGUCAGGUAGAGAAUACCAAGGCGCUUGAGAGAACUCGGGUGAAGGAACUAGGCAAAAUGGUGCCGUAACUUCGGGAGAAGGCACGCUGGUGUGUAGGUGAAGUCCCUGCGGAUGGAGCUGAGACCAGUCGAAGAUACCAGCUGGCUGCAACUGUUUAUUAAAAACACAGCACUGUGCAAACACGAAAGUGGACGUAUACGGUGUGAUGCCUGCCCGGUGCUGGAAGGUUAAUUGAUGGUGUAAUCGAAAGAGAAGCUCCUGAUCGAAGCCCCAGUAAACGGCGGCCGUAACUAUAACGGUCCUAAGGUAGCGAAAUUCCUUGUCGGGUAAGUUCCGACCUGCACGAAUGGCGUAAUGAUGGCCAGGCUGUCUCCACCCGAGACUCAGUGAAAUUGAACUCGCUGUGAAGAUGCAGUGUACCCGCGGCAAGACGGAAAGACCCCGUGAACCUUUACUAUAGCUUGACACUGAACAUUGAGCCUUGAUGUGUAGGAUAGGUGGGAGGCUUUGAAGCGUGGACGCCAGUCUGCGUGGAGCCAACCUUGAAAUACCACCCUUUAAUGUUUGAUGUUCUAACGUUGGCCCCUUAUCGGGGUUGCGGACAGUGUCUGGUGGGUAGUUUGACUGGGGCGGUCUCCUCCCAAAGCGUAACGGAGGAGCACGAAGGUUAGCUAAUCCUGGUCGGACAUCAGGAGGUUAGUGCAAUGGCAUAAGCUAGCUUGACUGCGAGCGUGACGGCGCGAGCAGGUGCGAAAGCAGGUCAUAGUGAUCCGGUGGUUCUGAAUGGAAGGGCCAUCGCUCAACGGAUAAAAGGUACUCCGGGGAUAACAGGCUGAUACCGCCCAAGAGUUCAUAUCGACGGCGGUGUUUGGCACCUCGAUGUCGGCUCAUCACAUCCUGGGGCUGAAGUAGGUCCCAAGGGUAUGGCUGUUCGCCAUUUAAAGUGGUACGCGAGCUGGGUUUAGAACGUCGUGAGACAGUUCGGUCCCUAUCUGCCGUGGGCGCUGGAGAAUUGAGGGGGGCUGCUCCUAGUACGAGAGGACCGGAGUGGACGCAUCACUGGUGUUCGGGUUGUCAUGCCAAUGGCACUGCCCGGUAGCUAAAUGCGGAAGAGAUAAGUGCUGAAAGCAUCUAAGCACGAAACUUGCCCCGAGAUGAGUUCUCCCUGAGACUUUAAGUCUCCUGAAGGAACGUUGAAGACGACGACGUUGAUAGGCCGGGUGUGUAAGCGCAGCGAUGCGUUGAGCUAACCGGUACUAAUGAACCGUGAGGCUUAACCUU
rnacentral:rRNA from 1 species